rnacentral:rRNA from 1 species
ACCUACGGGAGGCAGCAGUAGGGAAUCUUCCACAAUGGGCGAAAGCCUGAUGGAGCAACGCCGCGUGGGUGAAGAAGGUCUUCGGAUCGUAAAACCCUGUUGUUAGAGAAGAAAGUGCGUGAGAGUAACUGUUCACGUUUCGACGGUAUCUAACCAGAAAGCCACGGCUAACUACGUGCCAGCAGCCGCGGUGAUACGUAGGUGGCAAGCGUUAUCCGGAUUUAUUGGGCGUAAAGGGAACGCAGGCGGUCUUUUAAGCCUGAUGUGAAAGCCUUCGGCUUAACCGGAGUAGUGCAUUGGAAACU